CUUCCUACGGGAGGCAGCAGUGGGGGAUAUUGCACAAUGGGGGGAACCCUGAUGCAGCGACGCCGCGUGGGUGAAGGAGCGUUUCGGCGCGUAAAGCCCUAUCGGCAGGGAAGAAGGAGGACGGUACCUGACUAAGAAGCCCCGGCUAACUACGUGCCAGCAGCCGCGGUAAUACGUAGGGGGCAAGCGUUAUCCGGAAUUAUUGGGUGUAAAGGGUGCGUAGACGGAAGAACAAGUUGGUUGUGAAAUCCCUCGGCUCAACUGAGGAACUGCAACCAAAACUAUUCUCCUUGAGUGUCGGCGAG
rnacentral:rRNA from 1 species